UACGUAGGGGGCAAGCGUUGUCCGGAAUCAUUGGGCGUAAAGAGCGUGUAGGCGGCUUGGUAAGUCCGCUGUGAAAGUCCAGGGCUCCAACCUGAAAGCCGGUGGAAACUGUCAAGCUUGAGUCCGGAAGAGGCGAGUGGAAUUCCUGGUGUAGCGGUGAAAUGCGCAGAUAUCAGGAGGAACACCAAUGGCGAAGGCAGCUCGCUGGGACGGUACUGACGCUGAGACGCGAAAGCGUGGGGAGCAAACAGG
rnacentral:rRNA from 1 species